CUUAAUGAGGGGAACUCAGGGAACUGAAACAUCUAAGUACCUGAAGGAAGAGAAAGAAAUUCGAUUCCGUAAGUAGCGGCGAGCGAACGCGGAUUAGCCCAAACCAAUAAAGUUUUCUUUAUUGGGGUUGCGGACAUAUCAUAACGAAGAGGUAUCGUAAUUGAAGAGGUUUGGAAAGACCCACCACAGAAGGUAAUAGUCCUGUAUGUUAAACGAGAAGACUUUAGAUAUGAUCCAGAGUACCACGGGACACGUGAAACCCUGUGGGAAGCAGGAGGGACCACCCUCCAAGGCUAAAUACUACCUAGUGACCGAUAGCGUAUAGUACCGUGAGGGAAAGGUGAAAAGAACCCCGGGAGGGGAGUGAAAUAGAACCUGAAACCCUGCACUUACAAGCUGUGGAAGCACAUUUCUUGUGUGACCGCGUACUUUUUGUAGAACGGGCCAACGAGUUACGUUAAGUAGCAAGGUUAAGCACUUAAGGUGCGGAGCCGUAGCGAAAGCGAGUUUUAACUGAGCGUUCAGUUACUUGACGUAGACCCGAAACCGGGCGACCUACCCAUGAGCAGGAUGAAGCGAAAGUAAAAUUUCGUGGAGGUCCGAACCCACGAGCGUUGAAAAGCUCGGGGAUGACUUGUGGGUAGCGGUGAAAUUCCAAUCGAGCCCGGAGAUAGCUGGUUCUCCCCGAAAUAGCUUUAGGGCUAGCCUCAAGGUGAGAGAUACGGAGGUAGAGCACUGAAUGUCCUAGGGGGUAUUGCACCUACCGAAGACUAUCAAACUCCGAAUGCCGUCAUCUUAUACUUGGGAGUCAGACUGUGGGUGAUAAGAUUCAUAGUCGAAAGGGCAACAGCCCAGAUCGUCAGCUAAGGUCCCUAAAUGUAAGUUAAGUGGUAAAGGAUGUGGGAUUGCACAGACAACCAGGAUGUUGGCUUAGAAGCAGCCACUCAUUCAAAGAGUGCGUAAUAGCUCACUGGUCGAGUGAUCCUGCGCCGAAGAUUUCCGGGGCUAAAACUUACUACCGAAGCUACGGCAUCAGUAAUGAUGGGUAGGGGAGCUUCCCAUACGGGUUGAAGCAUGACCGUAAGGACAUGUGGACAGUAUGGGAGUGAGAAUGUUGGCAUGAGUAGCGAGAUGUGGGUGAGAAUCCCACAGGCCGUAAACCCAAGGUUUCCAGGGGAAGGUUCGUCCGCCCUGGGUUAGUCGGGACCUAAGCUGAGGCCGAAAGGCGUAGGUGAUGGACAACAGGUUGAUAUUCCUGUACUACCGAUAACCGUUUGAGAGAAGGGAUGACACAGUAGGAUAAGCUAAGCACACUGUUGGUUAUGUGUGCCCAAGCAUUGAGGCAGUCAAAGUAGGCAAAUCCGCUUUGAUAAUGCUGGGAUGUGAUGGGGAGCGAAAUUUAGUAGCGAAGUAGCUGAUUUCACACUGUCAAGAAAAGUCUCUAUCGAGGUUAAAGGUACCCGUACCGCAAACCGACACAGGUGGGUGAGGAGAGUAUCCUAAGGCCAGCGAGAGAACUGUUGUUAAGGAACUCGGCAAAAUGACCCCGUAACUUAGGGAUAAGGGGUGCCACCAUCAGGUGGCCGCAGAGAAUAGGCCCAAGCGACUGUUUACCAAAAACAUAGGUUUCUGCUAAGUCGCAAGACGAUGUAUAGGAGCUGACGCCUGCCCGGUGCUGGAAGGUUAAGGGGAUCUGUUAGAGCAAUCGAAGCAGUGAACUUAAGCCCCAGUAAACGGCGGCCGUAACUAUAACGGUCCUAAGGUAGCGAAAUUCCUUGUCGGGUAAGUUCCGACCCGCACGAAAGGCGUAACGAUUUGGGCACUGUCUCAACAACAGACUCGGUGAAAUUGUAAUUCCGGUGAAGAUGCCGGAUACCUGCGACAGGACGGAAAGACCCCAUGGAGCUUUACUGUAGCUUGACAUUGGGUCUUGGUACUACAUGUACAGGAUAGGUGGGAGGCUUUGAAACCAGGACGCCAGUUUUGGCGGAGCCAUCCUUGGGAUACCACCCUUGUAGUACUGGGACUCUAACCAUAGGCCAUGAAUCUGGUCUUGGGACACUGUCAGGUGGGCAGUUUGACUGGGGCGGUCGCCUCCCAAAAGG
rnacentral:rRNA from 1 species